AUGCAAGUUCUCAUGGACCCAGUGUUUUGGAAAGCAGCAGAAAAUCUCAUGGAUCCAGUGUUUAGGAAAGCAGCAGAUAAAGGAAAUAUAGUUAGCCUACAAGAGUUUGUCGCCGUCAAACCCAACACAAUUUACUCGACGACAAAGGCUGAGAAAAACACAGCACUUCACAUCGCGGCGUCAGAAGGCCACACUUUGUUUGUCCAUCAUUUCCUCCUCCUUGUAGGCACAAAUAUGGAGCUCAUGGUCAGUCAAAACAAUGAUGGCGAUACGCCACUGCACCUGGCGGUGAGAGCGGGCCAUCUAGAAGUGGUCGAGCACCUGAUUCUAUAUUUGACGUGGGCAAGGGGAAUCGAUGCCAACUUAAAGGAGCCUACCACAAUGUUAAAUGGUAAAGGAAAUACACCGAUGCAUGAUGCACUGUCUCAUCGACAAUUGGACAUUGCACUAAAGCUUUUGGAGGUCAACCCAAGAUGUGCAAAUGCAUUGAACACGGAAAUGCAAUCACCGCUUUACAUUGCUGCUAGGGAAGGCUAUCUCCAUGUUGUCAAGAGAAUUGCCGACCAGUUGUCGGCAGCCUCUGUCUCAACUAUUGGCACUCAUAUGACUGCUCUACACCAGGCUGUGUUGGCUGAUGACAUCGGGGCGCUGGAUAUCUUACUGGACAAUAUUGUGAAGCUGGUGGAGGUGACAGAUUCAUCAGGGAACAAUGCCCUGCACUAUGCCGCGUGCCACAACAGGGUACAUAUGAUAUCCAUGUUGCACAACAAAAACUCUACUCUAGCAUAUAUGAAGAACAUUGAGCAGCAUACCGCUCUACACAAGGCUGCUAAGUAUGGCUCAGUAGAGGCUGCCAGGGAGCUCAUGAAGCAGUGCCCUAAUACUGUUGAGAUGGUGGAUUUAUGUGGGAGAAAUGCUUUCCACAUCUCCAUCAUCAACAACAAGUUAAGAGUGCUCAAGUUGCUUCUUGAGUAUGAGCUGCCGGAGGAGAUCUUGAACAAACAGGAUAAUGAUGGCAACACUCCGCUGCAUCAUGCUGCCAAGCUCCACCAAGGGCCAAUACUGUGGUUAUUACUCAAUGAUCUGAGAAUCAACUCAUACAUGAUUAACAAUGAAGGGCAUACUCCAUGGGACGAUCAGAUUCUGAUAGAGCCCAUGACCCGAGAUUUGAGUGAUGCAAUUGACAAAGGAGACAUGCUAAGCCUGGUAAAUUUCCUUGCUUACUACCCGGAAAGGGUUUAUUCGGUGACACCCAUAAGAGGACACACGUCCCUCCACCUCACAGCAUCAAAAGGAGAUGAUUGGUUCGUUCAUCAUGUGCUUCUCUAUACGAACCGGAAUGUGGGGUUCAUUACUAGUAAGAACAGUGAUGGGGAUACACCAUUGCACCUGGCCGUGAGAGCAGGCCAUUUGGAAGUGGUACAUCAUUUGAUGCGCUAUUUGGCAUGGGCUAGGGAAAUCGAGCCCAACUUAAAGUUAAAGGAACCACUAAUAACUCCGGGCAAGGAAGGGAACACCUUGCUGCAUGAAGCAGUGAUACAUGGUAGGCACCUUGUGGCAGGCAGCCUGCUAAAUAGUUGCAAGGAGAUUAAAUUCACGGCUGCUGGAGAAUUUAUCAAGGAAUACCCUGAGUGUGCUGAUUUCUCAAGUAUAUAUGAUGUAUUCCUCAUCAUUAGGAAUGAUGAUGGGGACACAGCGCUGCACCUUGCAGUUAAAGCUGGAAAUUCUGUAUUUGUCGACAUGCUGAUCAAGUGUGCUAAAGUGAUGAACCUGGAACUUACGACUCGGUAUGCAAAGGGGCCUAUAACAAUCGCAAACAAACUAGGAAACACCCCAUUGCACGAUGCGGUGCUGCAGCGAAAGUCGGAUGUUGCACUUAAGCUGCUGGAGGCCAACCCAAGCUGUGCGCACAUGUUGAAUGCAGCAAUGCAGUCACCGUUCUACAUUGCUGUUCGGGACAGCCUUACAUAUGUUGUCAAGAAGAUUGCCGACCAGGGGCUGUACGUGGCUUUAAUGUCCACUCACGGCACUGUUCUGCACCAAUCCGUGUUGGGGAAUAACAUCCGGGCGCUGGAGAUCUUGCUGGACAGGUAUGAGGAGCUUGUGGAGUUGACAGAUUUAUCAGGGAACAAUGCUCUGCACUACGCCGCACAGCACAACAACGCACGCAUAGUAUCCAUUUUGCUCAACAAAUACUCCAAUCUAGCCUACAAGCAGAAUGACGAGAAGCAUACUCCUCUACACACAGCUGCUUACUAUGGCUCGGCAGAGGCUGCUAAAGAGCUGUUAAAGCAGUUUCCUGAUGCCAUUGAGAUGGUGGAUAAUACAAGGCAAAAUGCCCUCCAUAUAGCCGCCAGAAAUGACAAGGUGGACGUGCUUGAAUUGCUUCUCAAGUAUGUGCUGCCGGAGGAGAUUGUGAACCAACAGGAUAGGGACGGUAACACACCGCUGCAUCAUGCCGCCAAGCUCCUGAAUAGACAAUCAACAAUGUUGCUACUCAAUGAUCGGAGAGUCAAAUCGUGGCUGCUUAACCAAGAUGAAGAUACGGCGUUUGCCCUUUCUUGUAAAGCAGGAAUAUUUGAGAUGAACGUCGAUGAGAUGGACUUGUGGAAGGAACUGAAGAAGCAUGGGUCCAGAAGGCGCAGCCAGCAGGUAUUGACAGAGCAACAGUUUCGACCACUGUGGUACUGGGGAAGAAGGACGUACAUGGUUAGCAGUGUGGUCAUUAAUCUUUUCGUGGCUGCCAUGAUGAGCAUGGCCACCUUUGCAGUCACACUCGCCGUGCCUGGAGGGUACAGCCAACAGUCAGGCACCGCCAUUGUUGGACACCAUCUGGCCUUUAAGAUAUUCGCGGUCGGCAACACCAUCUCAAUGUGUGGCUCCACCUCCACUGUUCUUGUCCUCUGCUACUUGACGUGGCAGUAUCAUGGCCAGGUACUCACUAGAUUGAUUUGGGCCAACAUGCUGAUUGUCCUCUCCGUUCUAACAGCGAUCAUCUCAAUGUUGACUGCCGUAUACCUCACCAUCGCGCCAGUGUCGCGGUUUCUUGCCUACGCGGUGAUUGCCAUUGGUGCCAGCGCUCCUUUCUUGGCGUGCCUGAUACUGCGGAAGAGCCUGACUAGAAAGUCCCUGUUUACACGGUGGAUCGGCAUGAAACUGGUACCUCAAGGGGAGACAGGUCACAGGUGA
rnacentral:rRNA from 1 species